GGGGAAAAUAUCCAUAGGAGGGUGUAGAGAGCGGCGCGGCGAAACAAAGAUGGCGCCGACAUCCAGCCUUGUCUGGAUAUAAACGACUUACUGCGCAUGUGCAGGCUUGUCCCCUUGCUAGGGCUCCCUCUAGUGGUGAACAGCGGUACUGCACAUGUGCGGUUUAUUCACCAGGUGUUAGUUGACCGUUAAUAUGCUAAUGAGGUGAUUCAUUCUCCGCCAAUCCCUGGAGGACAAGUAGUGGGGUGAUCCAAGCCCCACCAAUCCCUGAGAGAUAAUUAGCAUACUGCUGUCUAUAUAAGCCGAGCGAUUUUGCUGCUCGGGGUCCCUGUUCAGAAGAGCUGUAACACUGAGAAGAGCUGUAACACUGAGAAGAGCUGUAACACUGAGAAGAGCUGUAACACUGAGAAGAGCUGUAACACUGAGAAGAGCUGUAACACUGAGAAGAGCUGUAACACUGAGAAGAGCUGUAACACAGUAAAGGCUUGCUCGCAGAAGAAUCCUGUUGCCGCGCGUCGUUCUUGCUGGCGGGACAUUGGGCGCGCGACAAGUGGUGCCGAGACCUGGGAACCAACAUCGCCGGUGCCGAGGGGACCCUUCAGUGUGCUGAAGAGGAUUCAGAACUGCGAGAAGCUGAAAUUUGUCCUCCUCAAUGACAAGAAUAUUCUUCUCAGCUAGAUGUGAACUCUCAAACUUGUAAUCCUGGCAUCAUGUGGCCAAGAAAGGAGCCUAGCAUGGCAGUCCUCUGAGAGGCUCGACGCAGCAACCGACUCAGACAUAUGGAGACAGCCACAGCAAAACAGUGAAUAGAGCUUGGGAAUUCUUAUGGAAGAAAAGAAGGAAGCAUCAUGGGUCCUGAAGAGGAUAGGGACCCCAAAGAAAGGACAAGAGACUCAACUCAACUGGGAAUUUGGUGCUCUCAGAGUGUGAAUGACAAACCAAGGAACAUACAUGAGUUGAACCUAGGCCUCCCCUCCCAUCUGCAGCAGAUGUGCAGCUUCACCUUCAUAUGGAUCCUAAACAACUGGAACGAGCCUAUCCCAAAAGCUGUUGCUCAUACUUGGUAUACAUUCUUCUAGCUGGGCUGCUUUGUCUACCUUUAGAGGAAGCACCUCGCUUCGCAAAGUCCUGAAAUGCCAGGAUAGGUGGGAUACCCAGGGGUGGGAGGCACUCACCCAGAGCAGAAGGGGAAGGGUGAGUGGGAAGGGUUGUGAGAGGGUGUGCAGUGGAGGGGUGUGGAGGGGGGCAGUGAGCCAGAUGUAAAGU